UCCUUUGUUUUUGUUCUUUGUUUUGUUUUGUUUUUGUUUUCUUUCUAUAAAAAAAUUGCAUUUUUGUUGAAAGUUUUAGGCUAUAGAAUAAUUUGAAGUCGAGUUUGCGGAGACUUGAGAAAAAUUCACAAGAUCGGUAUUGUUUUAACACUGUAAGUCUCCUGCAUAUGGAAAUUGAUUCGAAUUCUUAUUAUGUUUUAGCCUUAAAUUCCCGUUCUCUGACAGCUCUUGAG
rnacentral:lncRNA from 1 species